rnacentral:rRNA from 1 species
GACGAACGCUGGCGGCGUGCUUAACACAUGCAAGUCGAACGGUGAAGCGAGUGCUUGCACUCGUGGAUCAGUGGCGAACGGGUGAGUAACACGUGAGUAACCUGCCCAUCACUCUGGGAUAAGCACUGGAAACGGUGUCUAAUACUGGAUACGACCAACCCUUGCAUGGGGUGUUGGUGGAAAGAUUUAUCGGUGAUGGAUGGACUCGCGGCCUAUCAGCUUGUUGGCGGGGUAAUGGCCCACCAAGGCGACGACGGGUAGCCGGCCUGAGAGGGUGACCGGCCACACUGGGACUGAGACACGGCCCAGACUCCUACGGGAGGCAGCAGUGGGGAAUAUUGCACAAUGGGCGAAAGCCUGAUGCAGCGACGCCGCGUGAGGGAUGGCGGCCUUCGGGUUGUAAACCUCUUUCAGCAGGGAAGAAGCGAAAGUGACGGUACCUGCAGAAGAAGCACCGGCUAACUACGUG